ensembl:lncRNA
CAAGUUUUUAAAAAGCCUCUUGAAUGCUUGCUUCCAGGGAGGAACAUGAAUGCUGGUGCGUUGAGUAGCUGGCAUUAACUUUAAUAUGUUGUCAGUUUUGUUUUCUUUUGUUUGUUCUUUUAAAUCAUGCUUUAUCUAACUCAAAAAAGUGAUGUGUGACCCUAAGACGUUUAUAAUGAGUGGUUAAGUGAUGCUAGUCAGAUAUUUUUAACAUGUAUUUAUGUUUGUGUUUUUAAAAGCAAGUUAUUUUGAAAGAUUUUGCACAUUUUUAAAAGAUUAGCGACACAUUUCUUUAGAAUAACAUGCACCAGUGAACUAUGACAGAAAUGUGUGCAGUAAAGUUUUAUUUCAUGCUCUCCAACUUAAUUUGAUACUUACUUUGUUUUUUAUACGACCAUAAGCAUGUUUCAAAUGCUCACAUUUCAGCAUUACUUCUCUGCACGACAUUGUUGCCAAAGAUAAGAUUUCUUUUUGAAAAGUAAUACAUGAAACCUUCUGGCUGGCCAAAUCAACCUCAUCAUAAUAGACUCAGACAAUCUGGCUCCCUGGCAUUGCAGCAGUCCUUUUUUUUAUAUAAAUCUCUAUCUCUCUUGAUCCCUCUGCAACUCUUAUCAGCUAAAUGGCUUUUGAGAAUGUAGCAAUCAAUACAUCAACAAGUGAAUGAAUGAAUAACCUCCUUCAGAGUUCAUUGCUAACAAAAGAAAAACCAUAUCAGUGUAAGGAUUGCUGUUAUCAUGGGUUUGGUACAAAAUGGAAACUGUAGAGAUAAAAUCAAAUGGGAUGUAAAUGGUUAUAGGGUGCUAUUAAAAAAUCUAUACAUUAUUUCCAGCAUUCCUCUCAUGAGAAAAAAAAGAUUUCUGUAAAUUAGUUUUAGUUGAACAAUUUUGUAUGAAUUUGUAUGUUCAUGAUUCGAUUUGUACAAAAACCUAUGAUUUUGAGGAAACAAAAGCAUAAAGGUCCACCCCUAAACCUCAUGGGAACAUUGUACCAAAAUAGACUGAGAUUGUAUGAAUUCAUCACAGAUUCAUCAAAAUGUAAAAUAAAAUUACCAUUACACCGUGUUGAAUCUUUCUGUGAUCAAGGAGUUGCUUCAUACUGCUCUUGCUCUCACUGAAGCGAUUUAUAAUUCAGGAUCACAACUUGACGUUCAGUGUUUCUGAUGAAUAUGACAGACUUAGCUGCAUAAUUCACCUGAUCAUCAGCAUUAAAAAUACAUUCAAGUGUGUUAAAUUAAUGCAUUGUGUCUCAUAAACAUUGCUUGAUCUUAUGUUUCAGGAUUGUCCGCAGGUUAGUCCUAUAGAAAAGCAUUUAUGAUCAGCUGUUUUGAGGUCUAAAUGGAAGGUUUUUUUUGGAAAUGGAGGUUUCGAGAUUUACACCAGUAUCACAGGAUGCUGAAUGAGACGCAGCAGUGCUAACAGACCUCAGAAAUUGUGUUGUACCAUUGUAGGAGGCCAGUAUUUGCGUUGGGUCAGGGGUUCGCACAUCGCUGGGGAGUGACAGAGAACGUGGAGUGCAUUUAAAUGAGUUUGUGGGCUGAGAGAGUUGAAACGAUGUGGGAAUCUGUGAAAAAUGAUUGUCGCAAUGUUAAAGUUAGUGCUUCUCAUCUCUGUGUUUAAGCUGAUAUGGAGAAAAGUAGUGAUAUAUCUGACUGAAAUUCAUCUCAGAUAUUGUUGAAGUGUUGAUUUUAGCGUAUUUUUGGUCAAAGAAAGUUGUGUGAAAAGCACUGUUGCAUUUUUCCUCAUCAUUCUUCAUGAAGAAACACUCAGGGCUGGAUUUUCAACAAGACUGCAUGGCAUGACGAAGAAUAACAAUCGUUUGCAAAGGUCAUGUGCAAAGGUUAAACUAGUUAGCACCAAAGCUAUCUGCUAGCAUUCCCAUUCAUCUCAAUGGCAAUUUCUCUGCUAGCUAGUGCACAAUUGUAUAUGAUUUGUAGUUCACCGUUUAAAUUCCAGAAGAAAUGGGAUAACCUUUCAUAGGUGGAUGCCUGCUCUUCUAAAGAUCUGAAGAGUCCUGAAUGUGAAUUUGAAGAUCAGAGGGAGAGAAUGAGACACCUGCUUGCCACAGUCCUGCACAACGACAGUAACAUCACAGUGAAAACCACUCAAAUACACAGCCUUUCAUGAGCCAAAGGGACAGUGGCUUUAUCAGAUACAUCUACUCACAGAAAUCUAUUAAUACAAAAUAUUAAUUUGUUUUUCCAUCAGAAUGUUUUCAUUCUACAUGGAAAGAAUUUUUUUUCUGUGAUGCUACUUACCAAAAUAACUGCAUUUUUUAUGUGAGAUCUGAUUAAAAUGACAAACAAAAAUGUACAUUUCUGAUUUUUCUUUAGCACAUCACAUCUGAUAUUUCAUUUUAAGCAUGGUUUUAUUUGACAUUGUUGUGCAAAUGAUGCUCACUUUAUGAACAUUUAUUAUUCUGAUGGAAAUAAUAGUAACUCUGAG